rnacentral:tRNA from 1 species
UCCCUGGUAGCUCAGAUGGUAAAGCUUCUGCCUGCAAUGCAGGAGACCCAGGUUCGAUCCCUGGGUCGGGAG